rnacentral:rRNA from 1 species
AUUGAACGCUGGCGGCAGGCCUAACACAUGCAAGUCGAACGGUAACAGGAAGCAGCUUGCUGCUUCGCUGGCGAGUGGCGGACGGGUGAGUAAUGUCUGGGAAGCUGCCUGAUGGAGUGGGAUAACUACUGGAAACGGUAGCUAAUACCGCAUAAUGUCGCAAGACCAAAGAGGGGGACCUUCGGGCCUCUUGCCAUCGGAUGUGCCCAGAUGGGAUUAGCUUGUUGGUGGGGUAACGGCUCACCAAGGCGACGAUCCCUAGCUGGUCUGAGAGGAUGACCAGCCACACUGGAACUGAGACACGGUCCAGACUCCUACGGGAGGCAGCAGUGGGGAAUAUUGCACAAUGGGCGCAAGCCUGAUGCAGCCAUGCCGCGUGUAUGAAGAAGGCCUUCGGGUUGUAAAGUACUUUCAGCGGGGAGGAAGGGAGUAAAGUUAAUACCUUUGCUCAUUGACGUUACCCGCAGAAGAAGCACCGGCUAACUCCGUG